GCCACAAAUUUGGCCUGUCGCUGCUACCGGGUUAUACUAACACACACACACAUACACACACACGCACAACACUUCCUUGGUUUGUCUUUUAUGGGGCGCACUGGGGCAAGAAUUCAGGCAAUGGCUUAUGACUAGUGGUUAUUGCGUGGGCUGACAGCGGAUAGUCAAAGCAAAUACACGAGAGAGAGAGAGAAAGUGUUAAUAGAGAAGACAGAAGAGAGAGAGGAGUGAAAACAGGAGACAAUAGAGUGAAGAGAGGCGAGACGAGAGGAGUAAAAAUAAAUGAGACAAGAGAGAGAGGAAAAUUAAAGCAGACGAGAUGAGAGAGAGAAGUGAAGGCACGAGACAAGACAGGGAAGUGAAGACAGAAAUGAGAGAGAGAUGAGUUAAAACAGAGGAGACAAGAGAGAGAGGAGUAAAGACAUGAGAUACUGAAGAAGACAAAGAUAAAUGGAAAGGAAGAGGAAAUACGGGGAAAGGGAGUCAUAGAGAAAAAAAAAAGUGAGGAGUGAAAAAUUAAGAGAAAAUGAGAAAUAAAUACAUAACGGAAAGAGAAAACGGUUGAAGUAAAGGAGAUAUGAAAUAUGGAGAGAAAAGAGGGGAAAGAGAAGGGGAGGAGACAGGAAGCGAGAAUGUAACAAGGGGAAAAAGGAAGAGAAAACAAAACAGAGAAGUAAAUAAAUAAAGGAGAGAGAGAGAGAGAGGUUGAGGAGGUACCGUGUGAAAUAGGAAAAGAGAGAGAGGAAACAAUGCCUCCAUGGACCUGAUAAAGAUUAGUUACAUGUCUUUCACUUAUAUUUCUUUCCGGUAAAAUAAAAUAGGUGAAAUAAAUAAAAGAUAGAAAUAAACUGAGUACAGGAAAGUCUAUAUGUUCAAACUCGCUUAUAGGAGCAUAACACCAACACAGACAUGUAGUAACACGUUUCGCGAUGAAUUAACAAAACUGCGGCAAUGUCUCUGUAAGUACUUGAGUGGCACGAUCAUUUAUAAGGUACGCAAAAAUGGCUAUCCAGUAAUUAAACAACGAGAGAAUAUUACACAAAACCCUGAUGAAAAUGCCGAACGCUGGUGAAAUUCAGGGUUUGGGAGACGAGGGUUCCCUACUGUCUGUUUUGUGCUGGAACUCUCACACAUUUUAAAUCAUCAUCAUUAUCAGCUUCAUCACCAGCCUGUACUAUCAUUCCCUGGCAGGACAUGAGGCUCUCUCUACUCAAGUGUUUCCGUUAGUUUCAGUUUUGUGCCUCUAGUGUGAAAUUUUGAUCCAUUAAUAUUUAGUUUGCAAAUUUCGCAGGUUAAAAAUGUUUGGUUUUCUGAUUUCAUUGUAAAUACGCUUCGUUUUCAAAGUUCAAUGCAAAUAGUUUCGUUUUCAAAUUCUACUGCAAAACUGUUUCGUAUACUUUUUAAUUUCAGUACACUAUCUGCUGAACUGCCUCCCUUUGCUUUUUUUAUGUCAGUUAUUUCUUAAUCUGUGAAGUUAAAUACACAGCCAUAAUUGUGUCGCUCCCUGCUGAGAAAUGAGGUAAGCGACAUGGGGUCAAUCUUGAGAUAUCACUUGCCUCGCAUCAACCAACUAUUCAGGCAACUUUUCAGACUAAAAUUCAAAAAAGUUGUGGCAUCAUGGUAAUUUUUUUCACACACAUGCCUCGGAAAAGUGCAGAAACAACAAACUUCAACCGCAAUUUUCUCGUUUCCUUGUCCGUGUCGCUUACCUCACUUCAGCAGGGAGCAACACAAUAGUACUCAUGCAAAAGUGGUACGUAAACUUCCUAACAUCAUCACACCACCCGCUGAAUGGCCAGACCUCUACUUCUGUCUUGUGUCAGUUGUUUCCUAGUCUGUCAGCUUACAUACACAGACAUAUAUGUACCAACCUUGCUGAGUGUUAGAGACUGUAUAUAAAGGUACUGAUUGUAUAUAUGUUAACACCAGGAAACGACUGAGCAAAUAUAGGUUGUUUUAUGUCUUAGCUAUAAUAAGACACUAACACAGACACACAGACACACGCAUACACACACACCUGCCUAUUCCGAACAGUCCAGGCGUGUAAGAAACUCCAUUCACACUAGACGCGACACAGGGUAAGGUCAUAACACACACUGCCUCCCCUCCUAUCACAUGCACCACCCUUGGCAGCUUCCCUGUAUGUACUGAUGCAAGCUUUAGCACCCUAUCACAUCGCUGUCACUGGUCCCGAUAAUUCCUAUUGGCAUUAAGCUAAACAGGUACCUUCAUAUAUUCACAUUCGCUUACUUAUAUAUUUACACACAUACACAGACACAUACACACAUACCAUUCCACUGUAUCCUAACUUUAUUUCCAUUCUUACAAGUCACAUUUCCUCUCCAAACAACCACACCAGCAUAUCACAUUUCCUAUUGCACCUUUUAUCAACCUCUUUUCCUUCCCCUGUGCACUCUUUUAUUGCAUGGUUUGGCUUUCCUUGCACUACCAUUUCCAACUCCGACAUGUAACUCUUCUCCUUUUCCAUUUCCUAAAACCGUAUGCUGGCCCCCAAUAUCAAAACGAAAAAUAAAUAUAGCAUAAAUAAACAUCCUAAUUUCGUAGAACUAUCACAUUUCUACUUCUAUGCCAUACCAACCUUUGACAUUAUGCACAUCCCACUCUUCCAUUUCUUACAGUAAUAUGUCAACCCCAAAACUGAAUAAAAUAGAUACGAAUAUCCUUUUCCCACACUGUCACAUUUCCACCUCUAUGCCGAACUAACUUAUGACAUUGUACACUUCACUUUUCUAUGUUACCGCCUCGCUUCACAUUCACUUUUUGAAGAACACGGCCCAUUGGUAGAGUGUGGGAGCAACUUAUGACGCUAAACCCUUCUCUGCAACACACUCAAUAUGAACAUACUUU